rnacentral:rRNA from 1 species
CCUACGGGGGGCAGCAGUGAGGAAUAUUGGUCAAUGGGCUUACGCCUGAACCAGCCAAGUCGCGUGAGGGAUGACUGCCCUACGGGUUGUAAACUUCUUUUAUAAAGGAAUAAAGUGAGGCACGUGUGCCUUUUUGUAUGUACUUUAUGAAUAAGGAUCGGCUAACUCCGUGCCAGCAGCCGCGGUAAUACGGAGGAUCCGAGCGUUAUCCGGAUUUAUUGGGUUUAAAGGGAGCGUAGAUGGGUUGUUAAGUCAGUUGUGAAAGUUUGCGGCUCAACCGUAAAAUUGCAAUUGAUACUGGCAGCCUUGAGUACAGUUGAGGUAGGCGGAAUUCGUGGUGUAGCGGUGAAAUGCUUAGAUAUCACGAAGAACUCCGAUUGCGAAGGCAGCUUACUAAACUGCCACUGACAUUGAUGCUCGAAAGUGUGGGUAUCAAACAGGAUUAGAUACCCGAGUAGUC